rnacentral:rRNA from 1 species
GGGGAUGACGUCAAGUCAUCAUGGCCCUUACGGCCAGGGCUACACACGUACUACAAUGGUCGGUACAGAGGGUUGCGAUACCGCGAGGUGGAGCUAAUCCCAGAAAGCCGAUCCCAGUCCGGAUUGGAGUCUGCAACUCGACUCCAUGAAGUCGGAAUCGCUAGUAAUCGCAGAUCAGCUAUGCUGCGGUGAAUACGUUCCCGGGCCUUGUACACACCGCCCGUCACACCAUGGGAGUGAGCUGCUCCAGAAGCCGUUAGUCUAACCGCAAGGGGGACGACGACCACGGAGUGGUUCAUGACUGGGGUGAAGUCGUAACAAGGUAGCCGUAUCGGAAGGUGCGGCUGGAUCACCUCCUUU